ACGUAGGGGGCAAGCGUUAUCCGGAUUUACUGGGUGUAAAGGGAGCGUAGACGGACUGGCAAGUCUGAUGUGAAAGGCGGGGGCUCAACCCCUGGACUGCAUUGGAAACUGUUAGUCUUGAGUGCCGGAGAGGUAAGCGGAAUUCCUGGUGUAGCGGUGAAAUGCGUAGAUAUUAGGAGGAACACCAGUGGCGAAGGCGGCUUACUGGACGGUAACUGACGUUGAGGCUCGAAAGCGUGGGGAGCAAACAG
rnacentral:rRNA from 1 species